GCUCGCUCGGGCCGGGAGGAGCCGCAGUCGGAGGAGGGGGAGGAGGAAGAAGAGAAGGAAGAGGAGAAGGGGCCGCGGUGGCGACUCGGCUCUCGGAAGCCGGGCUCAUGGACGGGUGAGGCAGCUGUGUGCACAGACAGUGCUCCAGCCGCGCGCGCGCCCCAGGCCCUGGCCCGGGCCUCGGCUCCGAGAGGAAGAGGAGCCCGCCUGGGCGCCGAGGAGAGCGGGCCGCCCCGCAGCCCGAGCCGGAGAGGGAGCGCGAGCCGCGCCGGCCCCGGCCAGGCCUCCGAAACCAUGAACUUUCUGCUC
rfam:Bovine heparin-binding vascular endothelial growth factor (VEGF) mRNA, complete cds.